rnacentral:lncRNA from 1 species
GCGACUGCAUGGUGGCCGCUUUCCGGUACCCACUGAAAGUGGCCGGACGAAGGCGGCUCCUUAAGUAGAGCCAGAAGGGAGAUGUCGUUCUUGGCGGCUGUGAAUCCGUGUGCAAAGGUGUGAAGAUGGCACCCUGGAUUACUUGCUGGCACCAAAGAUCUUGACUUGCGUCAGAUAGCAGGACUGGCAGCGGUGUCGGUGAGUCAUUAAAGAUGAGCACUGGUGAAACCGCACAUGUGCAGGUCGAGGGAUACAGCCAUGCUCCAAGAAGCGCGAUGAACUGCAUGUAGAAGCAAAAAUGGAUUAGCGGCGACUGCAUGGUUGCC